rnacentral:lncRNA from 1 species
GCAUCAAAGCACAGUGAGUUGCUUGCAAAUCACCGUGGUGAUCUCAGGUCGGAGGGACACUUAUACCUUUUGGCCUUAGCUAGCCACUCUUGACAAUAGAGUGUUACAUUGGUCAUGUUCAGUACAGAAGUACUCCUAUAUCUCACCUGGAUGCCAUACUAGUGUCUCCACACCACUUGGUUAUGAGGACAACCAACGUAUAUGGCAUACAGUG